ACAAAAGUAAAUUAAAAGGGUGUGCAACAUCAUACUAUGAAUCACAGUUUUGACAAGCAACAUUCUACCAGCUAUAGAUAGAAAGUGAAAUUCUGGCAUAGUCAGAGUUCAGAUGUUCUACUCCAAGUCAUGACAUCUGAUCCAACAUUAUUACUAAUACAGCAAGACAGUUAGACAAAUUAAAACCCAGUACUAAUCUGCACACAUUCACCGAUGUCACGACAUCCGCUACUAUAUUACCAUAGAAUGGAAGAACUCCCAGUUCUGUCCAUCUGGUACAAGGAC
rnacentral:lncRNA from 1 species